GAGCGAAACCGCCCCGGCCUUGCCGGGACGGUCUGCCGGACGUGGUGUCCGGUACUGACGAGCAGCCAACC
rnacentral:hammerhead_ribozyme from 1 species